rnacentral:lncRNA from 1 species
GUCGGCUGCGCGCUCUCUGCAGAAAAGGAUUUUCUACGCUCCCCGCCCAUCACUUGGAUCUCGUCUGGGGAGGGGCGGAUUUUUUUUCUGGAAGUACCCUUCUUCUCCACGGUGGAGGAUUUAAGGCUGGGCUCCAAUCGAGGCGGAGGCUGCAGGGCCCGCGGGGCGCCCCCCGCCCGGCGCACGCCUGCCCGGAGCCCGGGAAGGCGCAGCCCUGGGUGGGGGGGCCCGUGCACCCCCGGAGGCGGCAGCGGCGGUGAGUGCUCCCCUUCUUCCCGCCUGGCACCUUCCGCCAGCCAAGGCAGGGAUCGCGGCAGAUAAACCUGCCAGUAAUUUCAGCAAAUGAAACGUGGAACACGUCAAGGCCAGAGGAUGGAAAAGGCUCCAGUUUUGAUAAAAGGAGGCCUGCUUGGCUUGGAAUCCUCUCUCCUGCUGGUUGGGAGAUGCAAAGAUGUUUCCAGAGAGGGGCUGAUGAAUUGAGGGGAAAGAAAUGAGCCCAGUAUGAGUCCCCUUUCAGGGCUGAGCGUGUAUAAAACCAAACAACUUGGAACCGCUCCAAGAGAGGGGAUUAAAGCAACAUGUUAUUCUGAGUGAUUGCUUAAUUUAUUGAGCUGCGGCUGGAUCUGUAAUGAAAUACAGCCCUUGUAACUGAUAACCU